ensembl:rRNA 5S_rRNA 5S ribosomal RNA
CCCCCGGGCACCAUAGCAGCCUGAGGGCACCCCUGCUCCAAAGCUAAGCAGGGUCAAGCCUGGCAGGUUCUUGAAUGAAAGACCACUUGGGAAGGCCGGGGGCUGGAGGGU